rnacentral:rRNA from 1 species
AUUGAACGCUGGCGGCAGGCCUAACACAUGCGAGUCGAGCGGAUGAAGGGAGCUUGCUCCUGGAUUCAGCGGCGGACGGGUGAGUAAUGCCUAGGAAUCUGCCUGGUAGUGGGGGAUAACGUCCGGAAACGGGCGCUAAUACCGCAUACGUCCUGAGGGAGAAAGUGGGGGAUCUUCGGACCUCACGCUAUCAGAUGAGCCUAGGUCGGAUUAGCUAGUUGGUGGGGUAAAGGUCUACCAAGGCGACGAUCCGUAACUGGUCUGAGAGGAUGAUCAGUCACACUGGAACUGAGACACGGUCCGGACUCCUACGGGAGGCAGCAGUGGGGAAUAUUGGACAAUGGGCGAAAGCCUGAUCCAGCCAUGCCGCGUGUGUGAAGAAGGUCUUCGGAUUGUAAAGCACUUAAAGUUGGGAGGAAGGGCAGUAAGUUAAUACCUUGCUGUUUUGACGUUACCAACAGAAUAAGCACCGGCUAACUUCGUG